rfam:Asaia platycodi SF2.1, WGS project CBLX01000000 data, contig: 18
GGAGGUCGGCCUUGGACGGACGGCUUGCGAACCCGGUCAGGUCCGGAAGGAAGCAGCCGCAGUGAGUUUUGUUCGGGUCAUGUGUUCGGCCUCCCAC